GCGCCCGUAGCUCAGCUGGAUAGAGCGUCGGACUUCGAAUCCGCAAGUCGCACGUUCGAAUCGUGCCGGGCGCG
rnacentral:tRNA from 4 species